rnacentral:rRNA from 1 species
AGCGUAGGUGGCUCGAUAAGUCAGAUGUGAAAUCCCCGGGCUUAACCUGGGAACUGCAUCUGAAACUGUUGAGCUAGAGUAUGUGAGAGGGAGGUAGAAUUCCAGGUGUAGCGGUGAAAUGCGUAGAGAUCUGGAGGAAUACCGAUGGCGAAGGCAGCCUUCUGGCAUAAUACUGACACUGAGGCUCGAAAGCGUGGGUAGCAAACA